CGACGUUCGAAAGCCUUCCCUGAUUGGUGAAGUAGAACAAUAGAGCCCCGCCUUCCUGUACUUUGAUUGGUGAACACCAGUGUCAGUUUGACCGUCUGAGAAUUUUGGAGCCAAUCUGGAAAAAUUGCCUGAGUGUUACUGGGAUAUAAGUCCAUCACUAAGAAGACAGAAGAUCAUACCCUAGAUGACUGGUGGAUUCUGCUUCCAAACAAGUCUUCAUAGCCACUAUCUUGGGAGGCAUUGCCUGUCAAGAAAGGGCCUGUCAUUGCCACCAAUUGCAAACCAACUGCCACCCAAAAAGCAACCCAAUACCCUAAGGAAAGAUAGGAGGCAGCAUAUGCUGAGUAGGUAAGACAGCUACCACCACCUUAAUCAUCAUUUCCUCUCUGGCUUGGAGGUAGCUCAGGAUCCCAACCCAAAACACAGCCUUCAUCCUAGGAAGAAACACCUGGGGAGAUGCAACUGGGCAACUGAUACUGCAAAUGUUAUCACCACUUCUAGUGAAGAUCCCUAAAAAGAAAGUUGUUUUUUUUUUUUACACCAAUGAUCGUGUAAAAUAGUUCAACAUUAGAAGCCAAGAUGAUUUUAUUAAAGAGAUGUUACCAUUUGCUUUGUCACUAUAUCCUACAGACUAUGGGACCUUUCCAUUUGAAUUGUGGCUAAAAUCUUCCAUAAGCUCCCUGAGAGCAAGAGCAGGGAUUAUCUUUUUUAUUUGUAUUUCCAGAGAUUAGCAUAGUAUUUUGCAUGUAAUAAGUGCUUUGAAAAUGCUUUAUUCAUUCAUUCAUAUAUGUCCUGAUAUAGUUUAUUUGGCUUAACAUCUGUAAGUCAGUUGAUAAUGUUAUUGUCUAAUUAGGCCCAAGAUAACGAUUAUAAUUGCCACCAGCAACCAUAAAAUUUAUAAAAUACUAGGUAUAAAUCACAAUGAAACCCAUACUCAGUCAGGCUACUUGAAACAUGUUAUGAAUGUUAUAAAGCUAAAGAAAAAAUAUGAACACAUAUGUAUGUAUAUGUAUGUUUGUGCCUUACUGACAACAACAAUGGUGAUGGUAGGGGAAAAAAACUUUAUCUUUGGAAACUUUUUUAACUAUAAGCAUACUGGGUAAACAUUUGUUAUGCUACAUUUCCUUUAAUUCAUCAUACACACAAAAAAUCACCAAUUUUAUUUUCAAAUUAAUUACAUUUCAAUGAUAUACAAAAAUGCUACUUGUUCAAUUUUCAUAUUAACAACUAGCUAUGUAUCACACUUUAUUAUAGUAGUGAUAGGCCUCAUACACAAAAUUGUCAUCUCAGAGACACAUUCUCACCCUCUAAAUACAUAAAGCAUUUUUGGUAAGUUUGAGGUGAAGAUAUGUUUAAUUUAUCUACAAGCAGAGAAUAUAUUAUUCAAAAAGUACAAUCUUUGGAUAGUUUCAAGUUUAAUAAUCAGUUAUUUCAAGUUAUUUGACUUCUUUAACAGGUUCUGUCAAGUUGUUAAUGGAAUGCAGUUGCAAAAACCAGUGACAACCUUUAAAAAUUAGUAGCUAAUUAUUAAAUGCAAUAUAACUAUGUAUCUUCAUACCUAAAGAUAUCUUAAAAGGCAAUGGAUAUUAACACAAUACUAUUAAAUACAAUCUGACAUAAUGGAAACUAAGGUAUUUAGGCUUAACUAUUAUUUUGAGCAUAAAGAUGUAAUUUUCUAAUAACACGUACUCAAAAUAAUUAGACACAUAAGAGACUUAAAUCUCAGUAGUAACAAUGCCUAAAACCAGUAGUAUACUUGUAUUUUACCCAAUUCUGCUGUUGUACGAUUAAACUUCCUGAAAACAAGGAAAAAAGGUUAAAAUGGAGCAACAGAAAUGCAAGUGUAUUACAAUAAAUAAAUAUUUUAAAUUAUCAAUAAUUUUCUUGUUCUCCUAAUUAACUACUUGUCUUUAAAAUAUAAAGUGUUUUUAAAAAAUAAAUAUAUUUUUAUAACCAUUUUCAA